rnacentral:rRNA from 1 species
UACGGGGGGGGCAAGCGUUGUUCGGAAUUACUGGGCGUAAAGGGCUCGUAGGUGGUCAACUAAGUCAUACGUGAAAUCCCUCGGCUUAACCGGGGAACUGCGCCUGAUACUGGUUGACUUGAGUUUGGGAGAGGGACGCGGAAUUCCAGGUGUAGCGGUGAAAUGCGUAGAUAUCGUCAAGAACACCGAUUGCGAAGGCAGCUAACUAAGCUUUAACUGACGCUGAGGCACGAAAGUGUGGGGAUCAAACAGG